rnacentral:rRNA from 1 species
UACGUAGGUGGCAAGCGUUGUCCGGAAUUACUGGGUGUAAAGCGCGUGUAGGCGGGAGGCCAAGUCUGCUGUGAAAUCGCCCGGCUCAACUGGGCGGGGUCGGUGGAAACUGGUCACCUGGAGGACGGUAGAGGCGAGUGGAAUUCCCGGUGUAGUGGUGAAAUGCGUAGAGAUCGGGAGGAACACCUGUGGCGAAGGCGGCCCCCUGGGCCGGCCCUGACACUGAGACGCGAAGGCGUGGGGAGCGAACGGG